CCUACGGGAGGCAGCAGUAGGGAAUCUUGCGCAAUGGGCGAAAGCCUGACGCAGCCAUGCCGCGUGAAUGAUGAAGGUCUUAGGAUUGUAAAAUUCUUUCACCGGGGACGAUAAUGACGGUACCCGGAGAAGAAGCCCCGGCUAACUUCGUGCCAGCAGCCGCGGUAAUACGAAGGGGGCUAGCGUUGCUCGGAAUUACUGGGCGUAAAGGGCGCGUAGGCGGAUAGUUUAGUCAGAGGUGAAAGCCCAGGGCUCAACCUUGGAAUUGCCUUUGAUACUGGCUAUCUUGAGUAUGGAAGAGGUAUGUGGAACUCCGAGUGUAGAGGUGAAAUUCGUAGAUAUUCGGAAGAACACCAGUGGCGAAGGCGACAUACUGGUCCAUUACUGACGCUGAGGCGCGAAAGCGUGGGGAGCAAACAGGAUUAGAUACCCUGGUAGUCCACGCYGUAAACGAUGAGUGCUAGUUGUCGGCAUGCAUGCAUGUCGGUGACGCAGCUAACGCAUUAAGCACUCCGCCUGGGGAGUACGGUCGCAAGAUUAAAACUCAAAGGAAUUGACGG
rnacentral:rRNA from 1 species